GAUGAACGCUAGCGGCAGGCUUAACACAUGCAAGUCGAGGGGUAUAGUUCUUCGGAACUAGAGACCGGCGCACGGGUGCGUAACGCGUAUGCAAUCUACCUUUCACAGAGGGAUAGCCCAGAGAAAUUUGGAUUAAUACCUCAUAGUAUUAUAGAAUGGCAUCAUUUUAUAAUUAAAGUCACAACGGUGAAAGAUGAGCAUGCGUCCCAUUAGCUAGAUGGUAAGGUAACGGCUUACCAUGGCUACGAU
rnacentral:rRNA from 1 species